rnacentral:rRNA from 1 species
UGGGGAAUAUUGGACAAUGGGCGCAAGCCUGAUCCAGCCAUGCCGCGUGAGUGAUGAAGGCCUUAGGGUUGUAAAGCUCUUUCGUCGGGGACGAUAAUGACGGUACCCGAAGAAGAAGCCCCGGCUAACUCCGUGCCAGCAGCCGCGGUAAGACGGAGGGGGCUAGCGUUGUUCGGAAUUACUGGGCGUAAAGCGUGCGUAGGCGGCCUUUCAAGUUGGGUGUGAAAGCCCGGGGCUUAACCCCGGAAAUGCGCCCAAGACUGUUUGGCUAGAGACCGGGAGAGGUGAGUGGAACUCCGAGUGUAGAGGUGAAAUUCGUAGAUAUUCGGAAGAACACCAGUGGCGAAGGCGGCUCACUGGACCGGUACUGACGCUGAGGCACGAAAGCGUGGGGAGCAAACAG